rnacentral:tRNA from 1 species
UGGCUCAGAGGGUAAAGCGUCUGCCCGCAAUGCGGGAAACCCAGGUUCGAUUCCUGG